rnacentral:lncRNA from 1 species
AUUGUAGAGGCAUACACAGAACAAACAGGGCAGAGAGGUGGAGUGCAGCCCCUUCCCUUGGGGUCUCAGAGAGUGCAUCUGUUGGUCACAGGUGAAAUGGUGUCUGACCACUGGCUCCCGGAAAGGGAAUAUUUAUUGGAAGUUUGUUCUCUUUCCACUUGGCUGGCUGCUUUAAGAUACAAGUUGAGUAAAACCAGUGCUACUCCUGGUCUGCUGGGAAUUUCAGGCUAGUAAGGUUGUUAUGAAGAUUAAAUAAGAUAACAUAAAUGUACUCCGCAGAUGUGAUUAAAUUCAGGAGCUCGACAUGAAGGGAUUAACCUGUCUUAUCUGGGUG